rnacentral:rRNA from 1 species
CCUACGGGAGGCAGCAGUGAGGAAUAUUGGUCAAUGGCCGGAAGGCUGAACCAGCCAAGCCGCGUGAAGGACGAAGGUGCCAAGCAUUGUAAACUUCUUUUGUCAAGGGACAAAAUCAGGCUCGAGAGCCUGCCCGAGGUUACUUGAAGAAAAAGCAUCGGCUAACUCCGUGCCAGCAGCCGCGGUAAUACGGAGGAUGCGAGCGUUAUCCGGAUUUAUUGGGUUUAAAGGGCGGGUAGGCGGGAAAGCAAGUCAGAUGUGAAAACACAGGGCUCAACCCUGAGCCUGCAUUUGAAACUGUUUUUCUUGAGUGCUGGAGAGGCAAUCGGAGUUCCGUGUGUAGCGGUGAAAUGCGUAGAUAUACGGAGGAAUACCAGUGGCGAAGGCGGAUUGCUGGACAGUAACUGACGCUGAGGUGCGAAAGCGUGGGGAGCAAACAGGAUUAGAUACCCGUGUAGUC